UCGGAUAUUCUACUACCUGUGUUAAAAAUAUCGCUUCUUCUUCUUAAAAAUAUUGCUGUUUGACGUGUGGUUGUCUUUAUUUUGUGGUGGUUGUAUUCAAAAAGCUAACCUAAAGAUUAUUAUUUGUUAUUAUUUGCAAUUUGUUUAUUUUAGUCUUGUGUUGUUUGGAACUAUUUUAUUAGAAAUCACUAAAUUUUUGGAUUUUACCUGUGACUAGGGAACAUUGUUAUAUUAAGGUAUUUUUAUUCUUGGUAUGAAACAAUGUUAAGACAAUACUGUGUGCUUUUUCAGUCCUAUGAAAGAAAAUGUUUUGGAUGUAACAGAGAAGUACUACAACUUUGUUAUGAAGAUUUGUCUUUAUGUUAUUUUUAUAAUGUUCAUGGAUUAUAUUUGUUUUUAUGUUUUCUUCAGUUUAAAUAAAGUUUAUGUUUUACCCAU
rnacentral:lncRNA from 1 species